ACUCUUACUCACUUUCCCGCCAUUUUCAACAAGAGUUCGAAAAACCCAAGCGAUAUUUUCGGACUUACACGUACACCGUGAGCGAGUUUAAAACCCUUUGGAUAUUUUAAAAGGACUCCAAGGAACUCAGGCUUUGCUUUGGCUUGAAGCUUGUGCCACAGAUGAUAGAAGACUCCUAAGAAGUCACUAUUUAGAUGAAGGUAUUGGCACCUAAUCUUGUCCAGGACCUAUUCUCAAUCACAUGGAAAUAAUGUCAAAUAUUUAUAUAAACAAUAAAGAACAAGCAGAAAGUGACACAUCGAGUCGAAGAAACAACGUAGAUAUUCCUGAUACAAGACAACAGCGUGACCCAGGACACUGUAGACUUCAAUUAAGUAAGUACUAUUGUACAAAUCUCAGUCAUAACAUUAUGUAAUAAUUAAUAAUUAAUGGACUUUUUUAUACAUUGUGAAGUAAAAGUGAUAUUCAUCAAGCUACAAGAAAUCGCUUCUGUAAAAACAUUUCAAUGCAAUAUCAUAAGUUUAGUUUUGCACUGCUGAGUUAUCCUUUGUCCAUGAUCUUUUCUCAAGAAUCCCGUCAACUGUGUACAUUGUGUUUUUUUAACUGUUUGAAUAUUUGAAUUAUUAAUUUAAACCAUGUGCUUCACUGAAAUCAUUAUGUCAAUUGUAACGUUAUUAAUUAUCUGAUUACUUUGCAAGAUUACCCCAAAAAGAUUUCUGAAUGCCAUUACAAAACUUGUGUUUUCGCAUUUUCUGAAAAUAAUAAAUUGAGCAAAGGUUCAUUAGCGUCGUCAAAACCUUUUAACAUAUAGAGGUUAAUCUAGACAUUGCUAUAUUCAGCUGCUCAAUACAGUUUUCAUUUUUAUCAACUCAAGUUCUAUUUAAUGAAUAUUCACCGAUUUCACAAUUGUCUCUUAUGUACUUCAAGUCAAAAUACAACAUUAAUAGCAGACACUCAAAUUGAAUAAUCCCAGUGUUUAUAUAAUGCUAUUACCGUAUUCACACUCAGCCAUUUUCAGUAUUCCACUGCUCCAAUUUCCUUUAUAUCGUUUAGCGAUAUAACGAUAUUUUUCUUAAAAAAUCUUAUGAAAAGCACAAUGUUUACCACAUGUCUUCAUACACUAGCUAUCUUCACCUCAUUACCACGAAAUGAUCAAGUAAGCCAUGACAGUAAGGUCAAUCCAAAUUCCCCAGUUGGUGGUUACAUACCAGAAUUUCUGGAAAAAUAUAAAAUCUUAAAUAGAUAUCAGAUCGGCCAACCAUUAUCAGUCGACCGACCAUUUAUUAGUACUAAAAACCCUAAUUGACUCUUAUAAAUCAAGCCACAAACCACUUUUUGCUUGUUUUAUCGACUUUAAAAAAGCAUGGACAGUGUCUUGAGAGAGUGUUUGCUUUACAAACUAAUAAUUGGGUGAUACAAGAAAGCAGUAUACACCUGCUGUGACAUGGACAAGAUUGCAUUAUGAAUAUUUGCAUGUUUCACUCCAUUUUAUACGCUACUGGUGAGAGCUGCUUGUAUUUUAAGGGAGUUAGAAAGAAUAAACUCGAAAGCCUGCAAACCCAAGAUAAUGGGCUGUCUGUCCAAACGAUACAAGUGUCUAGAGUUUGUCCUUGAGCUUUACAAAUUGUUAGUGCGUACGCAGGAAUA